rnacentral:lncRNA from 1 species
UUAAUAAAUGUUAAAUUGAACAGUAUAAAUAAUAUGUGUUCAUUGUAGAAUGAAGAUAACAAUAGUGAUGUUUUGCUUGGUGGGAGCAGUUUAUGCCAACCCAGUAAGUAAUUUAGUUAAGUAUUAAGACUUUUUAAAGUUGAUGUCAAUGGACCACAGUUAGACUUACAGCUUUUUUAUUGUGACAUGUAGUAUGUUCCUUUUGGCAGAUUCAAAUUCACAAUGUUUUUUUGGACCUGAGCGAACUGGAAUCAUCAAACGUGACUCAAACUCAAAAGUUUAAUUCAUCUGCCUCAGAAUCUUCAGAUCAAAGUGACACUUCAGAGCUUAAGGUGGGUUAAAUGAAAUAAUAUUAUGUCAAUAGGUUAGAAUUUAAAACAUGGCAAGUGUAAUUGCAUUGAUAUCAUGUUUAUUUCAUAGAACUCAGAUGACCAAGUAAGUAAUUUAUUUUUAAAAACAGGUUAAUUCUUUGUUGCUCAAAAUUACUGGUAUUGCCAGGAUUGGCAAGAAUGUAUCUGGACACAUAUUCACACAGCGUCUCAGAACACUAAUACUGGUUUAGAUAAGGGGCCUCAUCUCACUAAAGAAAUCCUAUAAUUAUAUAAUUUGUGGCUUAUAUUAAGUGACUUUGAUCUCCAAUAUGCUUUUUCAGAGUUCUGAGUCUGAGUCAGAAUCAUUGGAAUCCAUGUCAGAGGUGAGUGACAAGAAAAGCAUUUCUGCAACAGUAUAAUAAUUGAUAUGUUCAGCAACUAUUUAUAUGUAAAUAUAAAAAUGUUUGGUGUUCAUGUUCACACAGUCAUCCGAGAGUCAGUCUUCGGAGAGUGAGAGCCAAUCACUUGAGGACAGGGUAAAGACCUUCAAACACAUACAGUGAGGGAAAAAAGUGUUUGAUCCCUGCUGUUUUUUAAGUUUUCCCACUGACAAAGAAAUGAUCAGUCUAUAAUUUUAAUGGUAGGUUUAUUUGAACAAUGAGGGACAGAAUAACAGCAAAAGAAUCCAGAAAAACGCAAAAUGUUAUAAAUUGAUUUGCAUUUUAAUGAGUGAAAUAAGUAUUUGAUCCCCUCUCAAUCAGAAAGAUUUCUGGCUCCCA